UACGUAGGUGGCAAGCGUUGUCCGGAUUUACUGGGUGUAAAGGGCGUGUAGCCGGGCUGACAAGUCAGAUGUGAAAUCCGGGGGCUCAACCCCCGAACUGUAUUUGAAACUGUUGGUCUUGAGUGCAGAAGAGGUAAGCGGAAUUCCUAGUGUAGCGGUGAAAUGCAUAGAUAUCACGCAGAACUCCGAUUGCGAAGGCAGCGUACCGGCGCCCAACUGACGCUGAAGCACGAAGGCGUGGGUAUCGAACAGG
rnacentral:rRNA from 1 species